rnacentral:rRNA from 1 species
AAGCGCUUGCAACCAGACUUGCGCGCGAUGGUUCCCCCUUCCUUCUGGUUGGGCUACUCCGUCGUGUCCAGGCCAACAUCGGUUCUGGGGGUCGGUUAAAGGCUCGGGGAAUGUAUCUACCCCCCGGGCGUAGACUUAUAGCCC